rnacentral:rRNA from 1 species
UACGUAGGUGGCAAGCGUUGUCCGGAUUUACUGGGCGUAAAGGGCGUGCAGGCGGUUGGUUAAGUGCAGGGUGAAAGCUCCCGGCUCAACUGGGAGAGGUCCUUGCAUACUGGCGAACUCGAGGGAGGCAGAGGAAGGUGGAAUUCCCGGUGUAGUGGUGAAAUGCGUAGAUAUCGGGAGGAACACCAGUGGCGAAGGCGGCCUUCUGGGCCUGUCCUGACGCUGAGGCGCGAAAGCGUGGGGAGCGAACCGG